rnacentral:piRNA from 1 species
UGCCAAGCAUUCAUUCAAUAGACCAGGGG